CAUUAGACAGCCUAAACCAUAGAAAUAGAUAGAUAACCUAGAAUGCUGAUUCGCCCAUCUCCCUGUACUUAACAAAU